rnacentral:rRNA from 1 species
GAUGAACGCUGGCGGCGUGCCUAAUACACGCAAGUCGAGCGAACAGACGAGGAGCUUGCUCCUCUGACGUUAGCGGCGGACGGGUGAGUAACACAUGGAUAACCUACCUAUAAGACUGGGAUAACUUCGGGAAACCGGAGCUAAUACCGGAUAAUAUAUUGAACCGCAUGGUUCAAUAGUGAAAGACGGUUUUGCUGUCACUUAUAGAUGGAUCCGCGUCGGAUUAGCUAGUUGGUAAGGUAACGGCAUACCAAGGCAACGAUGCGUAGCCGACCUGAGAGGAUGAUCGGCCACACUGGAACUGAGACACGGUCCAGACUCCUACGGGAGGCAGCAGUAGGGAAUCUUCCGCAAUGGGCGAAAGCCUGACGGAGCAACGCCGCGUGAGUGAUGAAGGUCUUCGGGUCGUAAAGCUCUGUUAUUAGGGAAGAACAAAUGUGUAAGUAACUAUGGACGUCUUGACGGUACCUAAUCAGAAAGCCACGGCUAACUACGUG